AUUGAACGCUGGCGGCAGGCCUAACACAUGCAAGUCGAACGAGUGGCGGACGGGUGAGUAAUGUCUGGGAAACUGCCCGAUGGAGGGGGAUAACUACUGGAAACGGUAGCUAAUACCGCAUACUAUCGGAUGAGCCCAGAUGGGAGUAGCUAGUCGGUGAGGUAACGGCUCACCUAGGCGACGAUCCCUAGCUGGUCUGAGAGUAUGAACAGCCACUCUGGGACGGAGACACGGUCCAGACUCCUACGGGAGGCAGCAGUGGGGAAUAUUGCACCAUGAGCGAAAGCCUGAUGCAGCCAUGCCGCGUGUAUGAAGAAGGCCGUCGGGUUGUAAAGUACUUUCAGCGGGGAGGCGUUACCCGCAGAAGAAGCACCGGCUAACUCCGUGCCAGCAGCCGCGGUAAUUC
rnacentral:rRNA from 1 species